CUCCGACGACAUGGACGGCCUGCGCAAGGUGCCGGACAAUGUGCCGAACAAGGAGAUGCUGGAGCAGGAUCUUGGCAAGCCGCUGACGCAGGUGCGCGAUCCGUUCGGUACCCAUCCGAGUUUUGGCGAGCACAACAACGCGCGGCUGCGCGCGUUCCUCGACACCUUCGGGUUCGACUACGAAUUCGCCUCAUCCACGCAGUACUACAAGUCGGGCCGCUUCGACGCGACGCUGCUGAAGAUGCUGGAGAACAUCGACAAGGUGAUGGCGAUCAUGCUGCCGUCGCUGCG
rnacentral:misc_RNA from 1 species